rfam:Actinoplanes regularis strain DSM 43151 genome assembly, contig: Ga0170398_116
GGUCAUGAGUGUCAGCGACAAGCCCCGGCUCGCUGACCGGCAACCCUUGCGUUCGCGAUGGGGUGCCCCGGGUGAGGACCGGGCCGGCGUCGAUCGACGACGGCAAGCGCGGACC